ACAAAUUUCAAAUAUCCACAUUAGCAACGAAGCUUGGCGUUAGAAAUAUUGCAUUUCUUGGUUCCGGACUCCUACUGGUGAAUCAUGUUGCUGCUGUGUUGGCUGCAAUAUACGUGCCUCAGGCUUUCAGGUGUGGUUUAAUGAUACCAGCUCAUAUCUUCUUGGGGCUAUGCUUGAUUUUCUAGGCAUGGGUGUUGGAACUAGCGAAUUACACUAAGG